AGAGAUGCAGCUCACUUGGUAGAGUGCUUGCCUGGCAGGCAGGAAAAUUUAGGUUCAGUCCCUAAUAUUGCAA
rnacentral:tRNA from 1 species